rnacentral:lncRNA from 1 species
UCAUAUUCUAGAUCCAAAUUUGAACUAAGCCAAUUCUAGUUUCCCUUGACAAUUCCAUUAUACAAGUUGAUAUUUAUUCUAAGCUUCGAUAAUUAAAAGAUUCUAGAUUAACUUACUCAGGAGCUUACUUAAUCAUUCUGAAUCUUUUCUUUUAGGCUAAACUUAUUUGGGCCUCUCAUGAAAUCCCACUUGCAUUUCUCAUAUGUUGAUACAAAAUCUAUAAUCAACUCAUGGCCUUGAUUUAUAAAUAUUUAACUUACAAGAAUCUAAUAAUCUGGUUCAAAGAUUUACAAGAAAUUCCACCAAGAUAUAAGCUCUAUGAUUUUACAUUGAGAUCAACUCCUCAAAUAAGUAAAAUAUUUUUUAUUUGCAGUACUGCAAACAUUUUGGGAUCUUGUAAAUCUACUAGACUUAGAGAAUCUACUAAUAACACAAUGAUAUCCAUAUCGAUCAAAAUCCAAAGAACUAUACUUUCCAACGAUCUUUUUUUUU